GGAGUCUGGGCCGUGUCUCAGUCCCAAUGUGGCCGGUCAUCCUCUCAGAUCGGCUACUGAUCGUCGCCUUGGUGAGCCGUUACCCCACCAACCAGCUAAUCAGACGCAGACCCAUCGCAGGGCGAUAGCUUAUAAAUAGAGGCCAUCUUUAACGUUAUAUCCAUGCGACUAUAACGCAACAUUCGGUAUUAGCAGCUCUUUCGAGCUGUUGUCCCCAUCCCUGCGGUAAGUUGUCUACGCGUUACUCACCCGUUUGCCACUAGAGUUUUAAAAGCAAGCUUUCAAAACUCCCGUUCGACUUGCAUGUGUUAAGCACGCCGCCAGCGUGUCCUGAGCCAUGAUCAAACUACU
rnacentral:rRNA from 1 species